GCCCCCGUAGCUCAGCUGGAUAGAGCAGCCCCCUCCUAAGGGGCAGGUCGCAGGUUCGACUCCUGCCGGGGGCGCCA
rnacentral:tRNA from 1 species